CAAACAGCAAUUAAAAAACGCCUCUGCUCUCCCUGGGUCCUACCGGUCCUGGUGGCUGUCGCCCCUGUGGCUCUGACCACGCGUUGGGACAGUGGCCCUACGCSCCCUCGGAGCUGCGAGCAUGGCACCGCGCUCUUCCUCCGAGGCCGACUCACCCGGGGUGGUCGCGCUCCCGGGAUACAGCUCUCCGCUGACCUCACCGCCCAAGGAAAUCUGAACACCRACCCCCAGGGUCGAAAUACCAGAGCGAGAGCCACGUCGGACCCUCCCCGAGACCCCRGCUGCCACCAGGGCUCAAGGACAGCCCCACUCGAGGCAGCCCGGCCACCGCGAGAGGAGCUAGAUCCCAGCUUCUGUCUUUCCUCUUCAAUUCAGCCUUUUCCUCAGGGGCAGCAAGAUCGUGAUAGYGCUCGGGAGAAAACUUUUCCAGUGCUCGGUUUUCUUCCCACAUCUCAGGCCACUUCCCUUUCCCUCCCUGCUCUCACAGACAUCACAAGCUACAUUUUAGGAUUCAACGUGAUUGCAGAAACUUCCGUUUCGGAGCCCAACGCCUACCCAGAUGCUCUGGGGAGAGACCGGCUGCAGAGGGCGAGCCCAGGGCCACCCACACCCCUCACCGCCCCGAAAGAGCCGGCAGUGUCACCAAGCCACCUGGCUCGGUGGCAUCUCCGCAAGGUCCAGCACCAAGCACGGCAUCAACGGAGCGACUCCUCCGAACCAACCACGCACCUUCCUCCGCYGCCCACGUGGGAAAGGGGCAGCGCGGAGCACAGCAAGGGGGAACGCGCUCGAACCCCUCGUCCCGCCCCCCCAGCCCAAAUCCUGCAGCUAAGUCGCACACUCCGAGGGGCUUUCCUUUUUCUACGGCCUCAUUCGGUUGCCGUGGAAACAGCAGUGAAAUCACACACUCAGCACUGUGACUUCACACCUAUGUUAAGGGGAGAAAAACGCCUGGGAACACAAGCGGGUUUUGUCCGGUCACAACACAGGCGCGACAAGCACGUGCCCACCGCACCGCCAGCCCCGCUUCGGACAGCGCUGCGCAGCCGCCACGGCCCCCAGCCCCCUUCACACCCCCUCAGCCACCCCGUAUCCCAGCGAAUCCCCCUUUACAGCGUCUGCACCGGGGACGGCCGAGCCGAACUCCCCCGGCAGCCUCCGUGCCGGYGGGGCGGCGAGGGGAGGCACAGAGCAGCCAGACGCGGGCCCUGGCGAAACGAGGCGCGUCGCCGGGGUCCCGAGGCACAAAAACUCUUCCAGGAGCUGCUCUGUGCAGGUCACGGACCAGACGCUGCAGCAAGACUCGUCCGAAACACGUUUACCGCGCGGGUCGUACAAUCUGAGUUUCCGCAUACGAAAAAUUCGAGCCGUGUAGCCACUUCCCACCUCGGCCCCUCGGAUGCCUUUGCUGCGACGGAAAGCGCCCUUCCCACGUCGACGCCUCCUGCCCCGGAGCACCAGCACCCCGGGGACCACGUAAAACACGCACGGCGCGGGAUGGCGAGAGGUGCCUGA
rnacentral:lncRNA from 1 species